GCAGUCGAGAAUACUCCACAAUGCGCGUAAGCGUGAUGGGGGGAAUCCGAGUGGCCCACUUCGGUGGGCCUUUUGCCAAGUAUAGCAAGCUUGGCGAAUAAGUGCUGGGCAAGACCGGUGGCAGCCGCCACGGUAAUACCGGCGGCACAAGUGGUGUCCACGAUUAUUGGGCUUAAAGCGCUCGUAGCUGGCCUGUGCCGUCUCGUGUGAAAUAUUGGCGCUCAACGUCAAUGCGUGCACGAGAUACCCACAGGCUAGGGAGCGGGUGAGGUAAGAGGUACUCAUGGGGGAGGGGUAAAAUCCUGUAAUCCUAUGAGGACCAACGGUGGCGAAGGCGUCUUACCAGAACGCAUCCGACAGUGAGGAGCGAAGGCUAGGAGAACGAAUCGGAUUAGAUACCCCUGUAGUCC
rnacentral:rRNA from 1 species